CCCUCUCUCUCUCCCUCCACUCCUGAGCCCAGCUAACGACCUGCACCUGCACCUCAUCAGCCACCUCCUCUGCCUGCCACACCUGCCAGCAAUCAGCCUCAUCUCCAACAGUACUUCUGCCCUGGUUCUCCACUGCAUUGCUGCUUGAUCGUCGUUGCUCCUAACCCGGUUCACUCACCCUCGUCCUCUGUCAAGUCGGCUGGGCUCGCUCACCUGCCCUCUCCCCUCGGACUUUCCCCACGGCAUCCUCCCAGUUCUCCCGUGCCUCGUCUCUUCCUCGGCCCCCAGUGCCCCCCGGCCCUCUGGUCUCAGUCUCCUCGGUUACCCGUGCCGGCGUCUCCCCGGCUUCCACCUCUCCCCUCAACUUCAGUCCCUCAACCCCUUCUUUCCCCUAAAUAAAUUAAUAUCCACAAGGUUGUGUGUCCUGUCACCUCAUGGGAACCCUGUCAAACAUGAACUAAAAGGAGAUAAUAAAGUUUUAUUUCAGUUA